rnacentral:rRNA from 1 species
UAUUUCACAAUGGGGGAAACCCUGAUGCAGCGACGCAGCGUGCGGGAUGACGGCCUUCGGGUUGUAAACCGCUUUCAGCAGGGAAGAAGCGAAAGUGACGGUACCUGCAGAAGAAGUACCGGCUAACUACGUGCCAGCAGCCGCGGCAAUACGUAGGGUACGAGCGUUGUCCGGAAUUAUUGGGCGUAAAGAGCUCGUAGGUGGUUGGUCACGUCUGCUGUGGAGACGCAACGCUUAACGUUGCGCGUGCAGUGGGUACGGGCUGACUAAAGUGCAGUAGGGGAGUCUGGAAUUCCUGGUGUAGCGGUGAAAUGUGCAGAUAUCAGGAGGAACACCGGUGGCGAAGGCGGGACUCUGGGCUGUAACUGACACUGAGGAGCGAAAGCAUGGGGAGCGAACAG